rnacentral:rRNA from 1 species
UGGGGAAUAUUGGACAAUGGGGGGAACCCUGAUCCAGCCAUGCCGCGUGUGUGAAGAAGGCCUUAUGGUUGUAAAGCACUUUAAGCGAGGAGGAGGGUACUGGUAUUAAUACUACCAGCUACUGGACGUUACUCGCAGAAUAAGCACCGGCUAACUCUGUGCCAGCAGCCGCGGUAAUACAGAGGGUGCGAGCGUUAAUCGGAUUUACUGGGCGUAAAGCGUGCGUAGGCGGCUAAUUGAGUCGGAUGUGAAAUCCCCGAGCUUAACUUGGGAAUUGCAUUCGAUACUGGUUAGCUAGAGUGUGGAAGAGGAUGGUAGAAUUCCAGGUGUAGCGGUGAAAUGCGUAGAGAUCUGGAGGAAUACCGAUGGCGAAGGCAGCCAUCUGGCCUAACACUGACGCUGAGGUACGAAAGCAUGGGGAGCAAACAGG